CACCAAUCUCUCAAUCUAACCUCAAAAAAGCCCUACCCUUUCACUACCCACCCCACCCAGUAAGAACUUCAUUCUCGUUCUCCUCUCUUGGUAGCAAUCUAAUGAAAGCUAGAAAUCAAUUUCAUAAGAGCUUCAUUCAUAUAGCGCGUUAUCCUCUCCUUUUUCUCGCGAAGUCAAUUGUGUGAGGGCGCAAACCACUUUUUUGGAAUCCUCACCGCCGUGGUGCUCCCCCUCCGUCAAUUCCAGUAGUCUCGUCAUCCCCAUUGUUGUAUCCAUCACUGAGCCACUUCCCCGCCCUUCCUCCAUGAUUACGCGCACCACUUCAUUAGUCAAGAAUCAGAUUUGGGAUUUGUUUUCUACCUCGCACGAACAGAAAAGGAGCAGAAACAAGAAACACACCUCCGCGCUAGAAUCGUUGCCGACGUUCCCCUCUACCCGUCAGUACCGGUUGCAUUGUGCUUCCCUUGCCAGUGGGUCCAUCGCCGAUUUGCUCCCUCCUUCCUCUGGUUCUAUUCUUAGGUCUGCUUAGCUUCUUGGUUCAGAUUACUGAACACAGGACAAAAGGGGGUGAAGUAAAGGAAAGGCCUGCAAGACGCAUCGAUACCGCUGUGAAGAGUUGUCGCCGCAACGCGCUGCACCUCCAUUCUGGGUUUUUCCUAUCUGCAGAAUAUUGCCGAAGCAGGAGAGAAGAAAAUAGGAAUGCAAUCAAGUGGUACUAAAGAAGAUAACAUAUUCUCCCUUACAAAGCAACUUUCUCUAAAUUCCUUUGGCAAAAACAAGUCUUCAAAUAGCUAGAUUAUUACAAUAACAAAAGCUAGUUUCUUAUUUAUUUCUUCAUUUUUGGUGUCAUAUUCCCUUGUUCAAUGUUCACGAGUAUCUCUGUGAUUUUGUCUAAUUAAAUUGUGUUAUACCUAUGAUCAUAUUAACAUUAUUAUGUGCAUGAUUUGCCUCCUUUUGCGAUUGGCCUUAGCACUUU